rnacentral:rRNA from 1 species
CGAACUCACUGCAGUUGAAAAUGCAGGGGAUGAGGUGUGGGUCGGAGUGAAAGGCUAAUCAAACCGGGAGAUAGCUGGUUCUCGCCGAAAGAUAUUUAGGUAUCGCCUCGAGAAACUCUGUCGAGGAGGUAGAGCACUGGAUGGGCUAGGGGUCUUACCAGAUUACCAAACCCAACCAAACUCCUAAUGCCUCGACAUUUACCUCGGGAGUCAGGCUGUGGGAGCUAAGUUCCAUGGCCAAAAGGAAGAGCCCAGACCGCCAGCUAAGGUCCCUAAGUCGUUGCUAAGUGGGAAAGGAUGUGGAAGCACACAGACAACCAGGAGGUUGGCUUAGAAGCAGCCAUCCUUAAAGAAAGCGUAAUAGCUCACUGGUCAAGUGAAUCCGCGCCAAAAAAUUUAACGGGGCUUAAGUAACGCACCGAAGCU